rnacentral:rRNA from 1 species
UAGGGAAUCUUCCACAAUGGGCGAAAGCCUGAUGGAGCAACGCCGCGUGUGUGAUGAAGGGUUUCGGCUCGUAAACACUGUUGUAAGAGAAGAAUGACAUUGAGAGUAACUGUUCAAUGUGUGACGGGUAUCUUACCAGAAAGGAACGGCUAAAUACGUGCCAG